rnacentral:rRNA from 1 species
CUCGGCGGCACUAGCGCGGUGGUCCCACCUGACCCCAUGCCGAACUCAGAAGUGAAACGCCGUAGCGCCGAUGGUAGUGUGGGGUCUCCCCAUGCGAGAGUAGGGAACUGCCGGCA